rnacentral:lncRNA from 1 species
AAUGGUUUACACCUGGGUCUGAUGGAAACGUCUCUGUUCCAGGCCGAGACGCAUCCAGGGCAUUCGUGACCGGGGACUGUUCUGAAGCAGGCCUCGUGGAUGACGUAUCCGACCUGUCAGCCGCUGAGAUGCUGACACUUCACAAUUGGCUUUCAUUCUAUGAGAAGAAUUAUGUGUGUGUUGGGAGGGUGACAGGACGGUUCUACGGAGAGGAUGGGCUGCCCACCCCGGCACUGACCCAGGUAGAAGCUGCGAUCACCAGAGGCUUGGAGGCCAACAAACUACAACUGCAAGAGAAGCAGACAUUCCCGCCGUGCAACGCCGAGUGGAGCUCAGCCAGGGGCAGCCGGCUCUGGUGCUCCCAGAAGAGGUAAGCAGGCUCCCCUUCUUCUCCUUUCUGCCUGUCCCAAAUCCAACUCCUAGGCCAUCCUGCCUGCAGUAUUCAGUGAAUUCAGGAACUGAUUGUUAACCCCGGGGAGCUUUUUCAAAAUACUGAUAAUAAUUCUCAACUUUGGCUGCAUAUUAGAUCUUCUGGGGAAUUGCCAAAAUUACGGAUGGUCAGACCUCACUCCACUCAACUGAAUGGGUUGAGACUUGGACUUGAGGCCUGGGCAUCUUUUUAUUUUUUCCGAAUUCUCCAGAGAUCCUGCUGACACAAUCUUGACCCGGGAAUGAGAAGGCACGAGCAGGAUUUCUUGCUUUCUUUGGCCUGCUCAGCCACCCACGGGCUUUGGUUUCCUGUUUGACAGCACAAAUCAUGCCUAUCUAUAGGAGAGGGACGAGGAGGUGGGGAGGGUACCUGCAGUGAUGGCUUCAACUGCUGUCUUAAAAACAGGUGAGGCGGGCAUGGUGGCUUGUGGGCCACACCUGUGGUCCUGGCUACUUGGGAGACUGAGGCAGGCAGGUCGCUUGAGCUCAGGAGUUGGAGUCCAGCCUGGGCAACAUAACAAAAAAACAGUAACAAACAAAAAAAACCACUGCAAAUUCGGAGUUCUCAGCCUUAAAUGAGGGGAGCAAGGGCAAAGGUAGCAGGAAGGAAAGCUCCUUCUUUCCUGGCCGCUAGCUUUGAAGAGACAGCUUCUCCAGUGUCAUCUCAAGAAAGGGGGGACUGUGAGAACCUGGCCUGCUCACUUUAUGGAGAGAAGCUAAGAUAGGCGUGGGCCUUCCUGUGACACAGGCCUGAAUGCAGGUAGCCUCAGAGAGCACUGGUCUCUGAGACUCCAGGAGGAGGAGACUCCAGGAGGCCUGCGUGCGUUCAGAUGCUUGACUUUGCUUCCUUGGGCCCUGCCUCCUUUUCCCUCCCCACAGCCUUCCCCUGUGUCUCCUGAACCUCGUCUUGCUUUCAUGACUGAGUAGUUCAGGCUCUGCCUUCCCCACAAAACCCUUCCAGGGCCACCCUAGUGAACUGCGGGGCCCUAUCCCUGUGCCUCAGCUCAGUUUGUUGUCUUCUGUUCACCUGUGUGUGUCCCAUUAGACUGAGAGGAACAAGUGCCGAAGGCAGGGACAAGGUGUGGAGUACGGAUCCCCAGUGAUGGGAUGGAGGCUGGGUGGAAGAGGAGGCGUUUGGGUGACAGCCUUGUUCUUGGUAAGCUAGAAGUAGGAUGUUUUCUCGCUGGGGGCAGUUUCUCUGACAGCAGGCACCGGAAGCUGUCUGAGGCGUCAGUUCCAAGAACCUCAGUUUCUUUCUUGCAAGGCCUCUGAGUCCAUCAGAGACUGAGCCCAGUGCCCUGAGGUGGGCAAGGCCCCUGCCCAAGAUAGGAGGGUGCUCAGGUUGUUGGGCCACAGCUGAAUCCUCCGUGUCUGAAGCCUAGUGCCAUCAAGGACUGGACCUGUGGGGCACAGGACAGCUUGCAGCUACACUCUAUGCCAAGGGCUUCCCAGAGAAGGCCGAC